UUAAUACCGCAUAAUCUCCACGGAGUAAAGAGGGCUUCGGCUCUUGCCAUCGGAUGAGCCUAUGCAAGAUUAGCUUGUUGGUAAGGUAAUGGCUUACCAAGGCUACGAUCUUUAGCUGGUUUGAGAGGACGACCAGCCACAUCGGGACUGAGACACGGCCCGGACUUCUACGGAAGGCAGCAGUAGGGAAUAUUGGACAAUGAGCGAAAGCUUGAUCCAGCCAUGCCGCGUGUGCGAUGAAGACCUUCGGGUUGUAAAGCACUUUAGGUUAUGAGAAAAGAUUUGGUA
rnacentral:rRNA from 1 species